CUCAGGUUCUGUACUGCUCUUCUCAGUGUCAAUAACUGGUGUUUCAUCAUUUUUAUGUGUUUGUUGCUGUGAGAUUUCGUCAGUGUGACCUUUGACAAAUUCAGAAGUGGACACUGCAGGCUGGUCUUUAUUCUCAGCGCCAACACAUGCUGUAGUUGAUAAAGUUUUCAUGGUCCCAUCUACAGGCACACCUGUCAUAUCCAAAAUAGAUAUUCAAUGCAAUGAUUGACACAGUGUUGUCUAUUUUAAUAUUUUGUUCUACGAUCAGUUUGUUUCUAGGAUGUAAAACAAAAGAGCAGGUUGUAAAUUUUCAGUACAUAAUUACUUUUUUGUUUUAGAUAUUUGUAAUUCCAGUUCAGUGGCUUUGUUAA